AUGCAUGAUCAGGUCGGCAUCGACCUGGACGGCUUCCCACUCGACCACGAGUUCCCGGACGACUACGGGCUAGAGGAAGAGGACGAGUGCGACAUCGAAGUGGAGCCUUUGUUCGAGGACGAGCUCGCCAACCAAGCCGCCGGUCCUAAGCCGAAGCGCAAGAGCAAGCACAUGAAGGCAUACAUGGCGGCUGAGGACAAGCUUCUUCGCAAGUGUUCGCGAGACAUUGGACAAGACCCUAAGACGGGCGCCGAGCAAAAGCAUUCAACCUUUUGGAUUCGUGUCCACCGAGAGUUUCAUGAGCGCAAGAAGUUUCCGCCUUACCAAUUUGUGAGCACGCGCGGGUGGGUGUCCAUUUCCAAGCGAUGGAGGGUGAUCCAACAAGAGUGCAACAAGUUUUGCGCCACUCUUGAGAGCGUCAAGGCCCGCCCCGUGAGCGGCAUCGGCAUGCAAGACAUGGUAUGCUAG
rnacentral:rRNA from 1 species